UACGUAGGGUGCAAGCGUUGUCCGGAAUUAUUGGGCGUAAAGAGCUCGUAGGCGGUUUGUCGCGUCGAAUGUGAAAACCCGGGGCUCAACCCCGGGCCUGCAUUCGAUACGGCAGACUAGAGUUCGGUAGGGAGUCGUGAAUUCCUGGUGUAGCGGUGAAAUGCGCAGAUAUCAGGAGGAACACCGGUGGCGAAGGCGGGACUCUGGGCCGAUACUGACGCUGAGGAGCGAAAGCGUGGGGAGCAAACAG
rnacentral:rRNA from 1 species